UCCCUAUGUGCCCCGGCAGACCCAGAGAUGCCCGGCGGUGCGGGGUGCUGGAGCCAACGCUUUGCAGCGCUGCAUUGUUUCUAAAAACAGGAGCAAGUUGGCAUAGGGCCCCAAGCUGGGUCCUCUGGCAGAGGAGAUGGCUGCUGAGCUGAGGUCAAUGCCUGCUUGGGGUCUCCCAUUUCCAGACCGGCUGCAGCCUUCGGUGAUGAUGGUGGAGCAGGACACAAAUGGCCCUGACUGCAACGUGGGAGCUGAAGUAGCAAAAAAAGUCCCUUGUGUCAUCACAGCUGGGACUGGCAGGGAGCUCCCAAGACAGGCUGCCUCAUAACCUUUUCCACCUCAGAUGAUGGACCCUCUCCUGGUGCUUGUUACUCUAGCCAUCGUGGCUUCACUCAGCUCAGCUCCCCACUUCUUCCAGUUCAGGGCUGGGGUUACUGGGGAUGCUAUGGGGCACUGCCCUCUGAAGGGUAAAAUCCUUCAGGUUCACUUUGAUCAGCAGAUCUUUGGGUAAUGGGAGUCUCAAGCAAUUGAGAAACUAAAAGGGAGCAGCUACUGGUCGAGUGCAAUAGUCCCCUCUAAGCUGGAGUCUGACAUGGCUGUGAACACAUGUGAAAAUGAGGAUUUGGCCUUACCAGCAUGGUCCAAGCUGGAUUUUCCCACAUUCUCAGUUACUUACUAGGACCAUGGCAAGGCCAGUGUAAAUGGUGCACUGGCACCAGAAGCCCAUACUCACAUAUGGAAGUAACGUUUUGUCACAACAGCAAACCUGCCAAUUUAAUCCUAAAACAACAAGAAGGCAGGGACUUGGUUUGAUGUAGAGCUGUUGUAGGAAGUUUGUGAUGCUUUGCAUACAGGGAAGUCUCUUACCAGGCAUCUUUUCAAUGCAUCAUGUUGACAAGUAGCACACCCAGUUUCACUCCCCCUGUGCAUGACUGUAUGCAGUGUGCAAGGGCAUGGAGUAUGUAGCUGCUACUGGAAGAAAGAAAGAAAAGCACCACUGACCCAAUUUUCCCCAGUGGGCGAGCAUAGGUAGAAGUUGUGCAGACUUUGUCCUAGCCUCAUGCCUGGUGCCCUGCCACCACAGAGCUCCAGGGAGACAAAGGGCUGGUUUGUUCUUGCCUAGCUUUGCCAAUGGCAAGGAGACAUGGUACAUCUCCACCCUAGGUCCUCCUCUGGGACCUGGGCUCACCCCUGUCUGAUGCUUCUCUACUCAAGAUGUGGGUCAGCAAGCACCUUUAAGGGAUAGGUAACCAGCCACCUUUGUCCCCUUCCAUACAUCAGACUAACCUAGAGACCUUGCCCUGCCCCAUCUGGCUACAGGAGCCAGCCCAGUUCAGCUGUGUGGGAUGCACAGCGUCUCUUUCUCACAUCUUUGCAGCAGCUCUGGGCACAGGGAGGCGAUGGAGCUGGUAACGGCCCCCAGACACAGGCCACACCACAGGAGCUAUGCUAGCUAGAGGCUGGGGCAGGCUGAAGCGCCUUGCUACUGAAGGUGGCAAGCCUAGGAGCACUGGCUGGGCAGCAAAGAGAGCCACUUGCAGAUGGCCAGGCUCAGACACCACUCAGUCUUCCCCUCCAGGCAUCUCUGCUCCUCCAACAGGUCACCCCAUGAAUGGGUACCAUCCCCACAAGCAGCUCCUCCUCAGGGGUGCUCCAAAUCCUUGGAUCCUCCAGUGCUCAAUAGGAAGGGGACUAGUUUUCCGGCACCCGGAAGUGGGGAAGGCUGGGCUACCCAGACUUCAGUGUAGCCCCAUAUCCUCAUUUUUUACUUCACCUGUAUUUCUUGCUACGGAGAGGUACUGCUCUCUCGCAUAGAGAGCUACACCUCUCUGGAGGCUGAUGUUGGCUCCAAAGAUAAGCUGCUUGAAAUCCUCUGGGCCAAGCCAGAGGGACGUAAGCAUGGGCAUUUAUUGCAAGCCACCACACCAAGGGGAGGAGCUGGAUCCGAGUGAAUUCAGUUACCCAGACAGACUGGGAGGAACACACUGCUAGGUCGGACUGGUCAUUUAGCUUCUUAACACUGAAGAAGGAGCUCUUCCUGCCCCAGGCAGUGCAAGGGCCAGCCAGAGGUACCGCUCUCCUAGACUUGGCCAACAGAAGUGACCUGGUGCGUGGCUUGAACACUGCUGUCGCCCAGGCUACCUUCAACCAUGAGUUCAACCAGGUUCACUGUCUGCCUCAAGGUUAAAACAGAUCAACCAACAGGACUGAAGUCCUGGACUUCAAAAAUGCUAAUUUCAACAGGCUCAGGCCUACCCUGGAGGUUUUCAAGAGGAUACUAGACAGUCGUCUCGCUGGGGUCACCUACCCCCAGUCAUCUUCCUACCUAGAAGAGGAAGGGCUGGACCUGCUGAUCUGCAGAGUCCCUUCCAGCCCCUUACCAUCUCUGGAUCUACCCAUGUCCCAUGCCUUGCUGAUGUUUCUAGGCCUAGCAUCUAUAUUCUCACAUCCAGCAAUUCUCUAUUGUCACAUCUGGUCUUUACCUAUUAUCAUAUCCAUAUUAUCACAACUCAGUGAUUCUGCUCCUCACUAGGGUCACUCAUCUUUGUCACCCUCAACUGGGCCACUUACAUUCACCAGGGAGGUAGCUGGCCUGGUAUCUCUUGGGGACUCCCACCAGCCAACCCUUCCCCAGCAGGAUGCAAUUUCCAAUCAUAGACAGGACCAGGAGCCUCCAAACCAUCCCCAGAGAUCCUACCCUUACCUCCAAGGUGCUCCAGGAGCAGCUCAACCAGAUGUUACCUCCUUACCAGCUGAACUCAGACUAUUACUUCUGCAGCUGAGGGCCUGGUUAAAAGGCAGAUGACUCCACCCCCUCAGCCAAUCCCAGGGUCCUCCUAGGGUCAUGUGCUAGCCUUGAUGAGGCUAGCACCCACCUGCGGGCUGCCCCACUGCUAACUAGAAACCUUAAAGUGGCAGGCACUGCAUGUGCCCUGCCACACCGUACCUGCUCAGUGCUGACAUACAUGAUAGACAGAUACCAUGUUUCUUCAUGUGAUGUUUCACUUUUCUUGAUAUCUUGAAAUAGUACUUACCAAGCUUUGUUCUGUUUGGGUGUAGUGUCAUUUUGCUCACGUUUUGUACUCAAGGUAGUCCCAUAUUAUAUCAUACAAAAAACCCCCGCAAAUAAUACAUUAAAAACUAUGUUACUCAGUAGCACAUGGUGGGGGCUCUGCACAUGACCUGCACCAGGCAUUAAAAUACCUGAUUCCAGUUCUGCUUGGGGAGAGAAGCAGCUAUUUCCCCUUUCUAUCUGGAGCAAGUGAUGCUAGCUGCCCACCACUCAGGGCCUGAUUCUUUUCCACCUAAUAGGGAUCUGUGUGGAUUUGCCUGCCUAUAUGUGCCGCUUUCCCCUCCUGCUCAAAUCCCUGAAAAAACACAUUGGUACAUUUACUUUUCAAACAUAGCAUCCUCUUUGUCUGAAGACUAAGGAGUCAAUGCUCCUAAGGGGAAAGGCCUGGAAGAAGCAACUCAACUCUGGGAAAGGGUAAGAGAGCCACAGGACAGCUACAAGGGGUGAGAAAGGGUCCAACUGCAAAACAGAUCCAAUGUAUGUGCACAAAAAUAAAAAUGUACUUUGGGGCCUUUUGCUUUAGCUGCUAUUCUGCAGCUUGUCCUAGGCCUCUUGAAAAUGGCCAAGGCUGGCAACAGAGAGCGAUCUUGUCCUUCUAGUUGGAGGUGGCCACAGAAGGAGGGAGAGGGAUGGGAACUGUGCACUGCAUGUUUGGAAAGUGCCUGUUGUGCCCUGAAUUUCCAAGUGGCAGAGUUGUGUGUGCAGUAGUGAACGCCUGUCAAAGGAACUGAUACCCUAACCAUGGAGGAUGGUGCCAGGGAGCACGGUGACAGACCAGGGAAGCUCACCUGUAUCCCCAGAAGGCCUGAAUUCAAAGCCUGGCUAUUGAAGACUGCUGUCCGUCCACUCCGCUGGAAAUGGGACCCUGGCCAUUUUCAAGAGGCCUAGGACAAGCUGCAGAAUAGCAGCUAAAGCAAAAGGCCCCAAAGCCUGUUUCUGAGUUCUCCCAACCUUUGCAGAUGUGACAACCAGCUUGGCCAGCAAAAUAAAAGCAGCAAUCAAGAUGCCAGCCAGACCAGUACGAGCCAAUUAAAUAGAGAACAAGGCUUGAAAGGAGAUAAUAUGCAAGAAGAUAGCUAAAUCAGAUCAUCUAAACACACUGUAUCAUAGCUCCAGCUGAAACGUACUGAAUAGUAAUGAUUAAAGAAACAAACUGUUUUAGACAUA